UAUUGGGCAAUGGGCGCAAGCCUGACCCAGCGACGCCGCGUGAGGGAUGAAGGUCUUCGGAUUGUAAACCUCUUUCAGUGGGGAAGAAGCGAAAGUGACGGUACCCAAAGAAGAAGCACCGGCUAACUAUGUGCCAGCAGCCGCGGUAAUACAUAGGGUGCAAGCGUUGUCCGGAAUUAUUGGGCGUAAAGAGCUCGUAGGUGGUUUAUCACGUCGGAUGUGAAAUUCUGAGGCUCAACCUCGGACCUGCAUUCGAUACGGGCAAACUAGAGUGUGGUAGGGGAGACUGGAAUUCCUGGUGUAGCGGUGGAAUGCGCAGAUAUCAGGAGGAACACCAAUGGCGAAGGCAGGUCUCUGGGCCAUUACUGACACUGAGAGCGAAG
rnacentral:rRNA from 1 species